CGCAAUGCUAGCGCGGAGCUCGGACGUCACAGCCCUUGGUGGGCUUUGCUGUUACCGCAGUUACAUCUUCAGCACCACGCCUGGGUGUGAAAGAAGGAAACCAAGGUUUCCAUGGAAGAGAGACUAAAUAAUCAGAUCUCUUUGGAACCCUCAGACUUCCCUAGGGCUAGUAGAAAGAAGUAUUUGUAUCAUGAAAGGUGCCGGGACUCAAGGUGUGCACCCCCUCACCCAGCUCGAAGUCUGGAUCUUAAUCCUUCCCCAUAGGUGUGUGUAUUAAAGGUGUGGAUGGCUCUGUUGGGAGGUGAUGGAAACAGAGAGAGCUGGGUGGGUCUAGUGGAAAGUCUUCGGCCUAUUGGAGAAGGAUUAGUGGAAGUCUUCAGCUCAUUGGAGGAGGACUUUUGGCCUCCUCAGAGGCACCAGGCCAUUGGCUGAAGCUUCCAAAAGUUUUCAGAUUUGAUGGUCUCAGGUAUUUCAUUAUGGCGAUGGAAAACUGGCUGAUGCAACACUUAAACCAAAAAAAAAAUCAAUUUCUUUUUGUUUGCUUUGAUGUUUGUUGUACAUGGAAAUGGAUAACUGGCAAAACAUCUUUGUCAAAAGCUAACAAGUUCUCCAUUUCAAGUAGUACCGUGAAACUGUCGGAGUAGAUGUUUCUUGUCGUUUUCAGGAGCUAUUUCUGAUCACAUACAUCCUAAGAAUAUGUGUAGUUUUGUAGUUGUGAGUGAGAUGUUGGCUUCCAGGUCUCUACUCACCAAUGUCUAAAUAUUCUUUUGAGGGAAGAAAAAUUUCACGGAAAGUAAAAGGUUGGCUAAAAACAUAUCAAUAUAAUUAUUUAGCAAUUCAUGUGUGAAAUGCCAACGGUACCAAGUAAGUUCUGCGUAUAUGACAAAGAAAUAACUCAAGGUAAAUAUAUACAUUCUCCCUUCUCACCCCGACAACCAGUUAAACAGCUUUUUAAAGAGUUUUAUUUUAAAAUUUUUUUAAAUUUAUUUUUAGAUGUAUAGGUGUUUUGCUUACACGCAUGUCUGUGUGCGGUACCCUUGGAGGCCAUAGGAGUGUGGUGGAUACCUGGAACUGGAAUAAGAGAUAGAGAUGGUCGUGAGGGAUUAUGUCGGUGCUGGGAAUUGAAUCCAGGUCUCCUGGAGUAGUAGCUAGUGCUCUUAACCUCUGAGACAUCUCUCCAACCCCCAAAGUGUUUUAAAAAUAUGUUUCUGUGUCUAUUUCUUAAAUAUGCUACAGUUAAUGUAAGUGAAGUGGAUAAUGCGUCAGAGUAGUCAGAUUAUUAGUAAGUUCUAAUGUGUAAUGGGAUACUACUUUUCCCAAGCUAAUGGAUUACUUGGUAAACCAUUAUCUAUCUGUCUGUCUAUCUAUCUACCAAUAAAUCAUAUAUAUGUUUUAUAUUCGCUCAUGUAUAUAUCCCAUAUUUACGCAAUUGGUGAGUGCUAGUUAAUUCCCUACUGUGUGAUGAGAACUCCUAGAAAUUAAAAAGAAAAAAAAAAAAAAAGGAUCAGGGCAGACUGACUGUGCGCAGGUGACCAGAGCAGAGAGACUGUGUGAGGAAUGUCACCGGGAGUAUAGAAGGCGCUCACAUUUAGUCUAAUAAUAGCUACAAAUAAAGUGAAGGCAGGAGUAGAUCUUCUUAAUGCACAGAGGGUCAGCUCCUUGAAAUCCAUCAACCACAAGUGAAAAGAGUUUAAAUCACCUGUGACGUGUUAUAACCCUUUGAGGCUGGAUUAAAGGCUUGUCGCGAAACUGCGAGAAGGCUGGGCAAGAGAGGGGAAUAAAUUCUAGAGUCAGAAUUACCAGGAGAAGGGCGAUGUUCUAAGGGCUUCGAUGAGC
ensembl:lncRNA